rnacentral:rRNA from 1 species
UACGGAGGGAGCAAGCGUUACUCGGAAUUAUUGGGCGUAAAGGGCGCGUAGGCGAUUUGAUAAGUCUUGUGUGAAAGCCCCGAGCUUAACUCGGGAAGUGCACAAGAAACUGUUGAAUUUGAGUUCCGGAGAGGAAGGCAGAAUUCCCGGUGUAGCGGUGAAAUGCGUAGAUAUCGGGAGGAAUACCAGUGGCGAAGGCGGCCUUCUGGACGGAUACUGACGCUGAGGCGCGAAAGCCAGGGGAGCAAACGGG